rnacentral:rRNA from 1 species
UACGGAAGGCAGCAGUGGGGAAUAUUGCACAAUGGGCGAAAGCCUGAUGCAGCUAUGCCGCGUGUAUGAAGAAGGCCUUAGGGUUGUAAAGUACUUUCAUCGGGGAGGAAAAAACAAAACUAAUAAUUUUAUUUCUUGACGUUACCCGAAAAAGAAGCACCGGCUAACUCCGUGCCAGCAGCCGCGGUAAUACGGAGGGUGCUAGCGUUAAUCAGAAUUACUGGGCGUAAAGAGCACGUAGGUGGUUUUUUAAGUCAGAUGUGAAAUCCCUGGGCUUAACCUAGGAACUGCAUUUUGAAACUGAAAUACUAGAGUAUCGUAGAGGGAGGUAGAAUUCUAGGUGUAGCGGUGAAAUGCGUAGAUAUCUGGGGGAAUACCUGUGGCGAAAGCGGCCUCCUAAACGAAUACUGACACUGAGGGUGCGAAAGCGUGGGGAGCAAACAGGGAUUAGAUACC